UCAAACUCCUGGCCUCAAGCAAUCCUCCUGCCUGGCCUCCCAAAGUGCUGGGAUUACAGGCUUGAGCUACCACACCCUGUCAUGACUCUUAAUUCUGCAUUUUUGUCAGAUAUUACAAGUGAUCCUUAGGUACUGUAAAGCCAUUAAAAUUAAAUUAUUUAAAAUUAAACUAUUUUAAUAUAUUUUAUUGCCUCAUUAGACUCAGAAACAAUUAAAAAUCUUCUUUCCCCAAAAAAUACUUUAAAAACUUGAAGGUGUUCCUCAAGGAUAGGAAAGUAAGAUCUGGGGCCCUCCUAUUUUAAAUUAAAAAUGCAAAUUAUUUGACCCAUUCUUCUAAGGGUAUAUAUCGUUCAUACUUCAAGCAUCUGUCUUUCUCUUUAAGGCCUCCCUAGUUUCUUCAUCUGUCUACUUAGGAGCAACUUAAACUAGACUAUAAUCUAUCAUAGCUCAAAAAGAAAAGAGUACUUACUAAAUGAUCCCAAAUUAACUAAACUCAUUUAAAAUUAAUAAGUCAAAUAAAAUUAAUAAUUCCAUUCUUCUUAGCUAGCCAGUAGGAAUAGCAGCUUCUUCCAAGCAUGAGAGAAUGGGUGUGCCUUUUAUGCCCAAAUCAAAAAAUACCAAAAAAAAAAAAAAACCUGUCAUGAAUUUUAAUAGCUUAUUAAUUUCUAAUUAGAUUUUAACUUCUAAUUGUGGUAAGUAGUUCAAAAUAACAACAGCAACAACAAAAAAAAAAAAAAAAAAAAAAAAAAAAAAAAAAAAACAAAAAAAACACCUGAAACUGGUGGGAAAAACUUCCACAGCUUUAUAAUACAAUAGCAUUCUUUACACAAAAGUCAAUUCUUAAAACCCUCAAAUUUCAGAUCAUAAAAAUAAAUUUCCAUUUACAGAUUUCCCCCUUCCAGUUCCAAAAGUAGUUAUU